UUCCAUGUACUCAGGGGAAGGAUAACCUUUCUCCUUUUGAACAGCUCCAGUCCCCACUGUGACAGUCACAGGAUCUGCAGCGACGAGUGCGCGCGCGUGGUGUAAAGUGGCGUGCACAGCACCACACCUGUUUAUUGGCUCCGCCCCGCAGCUUGUGCUGAAGGGAUGUAGUGGCAGGAACUGAGGUUUUCCGCACGGGAUGCUGCCCUAAAAGAGGGGCGUCUUAAUAACUGAAAAUUAUUUGAAACAGCUGGGCUGGAAGUAGCUUACGCUCUGAUUAAUAAAAGGAAGACUCGGUAUUAUCACGUGACUGCAAACACAUGUUUUGCUUAUCAGUCUGACGGAAAGAGUUGUCAUGACAGACUUCAGGUCAAAGGACAGGAGUUGUGUAUACUUACUAAUUUGCUGUGCAAAUUAUUUGCGAUGAAAUGGCAGACUAAGCAAGAAGAUUGGAAGAAAGUAGACCUGGGACUUAGAGAUAGGAAAAUAAGCCGCUAAGAAAACUGCAGAAUUUGGGAAAAGUAACUUCAUUUACUAUUACUAUGUGAUUUAAUUUUGGAAAUAAUUUGGUUUCUUAAUGAAUUGUUUUCCAGUUUGAAGCAAGUAUUUAUAUCCUUGUGUUUUUUGUUGUUGCUGUUUGUUUUCUUACUGGUGUGGUAGCAAGGGCUAGAUUUACAUUACAGGCAUAUCUCUGCAGCAUGUUAUAGAAUUAAAUAUACAGAUAUAUAAAUUAAGUUAAAAAGUGUUUUAAUAAUUAAAACUGUAACAUAUGGGUACAGGUUAUAUAGUGAUAUAGCAUGUAUCUUUUUUUUUCAUUUUUUAAUUUGAGAUGGUGACUAACUGGCCAUGCUUGUCUUAAAGACGGAUAAACAUCUGAUGAAGCCAUGACCAGGUGGGCACGAGUUACUACCACACAGAACAAAAGACCCUUCCCUGCAACAUCAUGGGAGGACAUGAAGAAGGGGUCCUUUGAGGGAAAAAGCCAAAACCUACCAAAGAGUAAACAACUUGAAGCCGAUAGUCUGUCCCUUAAAAAUCAUGCACCCCAAGCAAAACACAAAAAGAAUAAAAAGAAAAAGGAGUAUUUAAAUGAAGAUGUGAAUGGAUUCAUGGAAUAUCUAAGGCAAAACUCACAGAUGGUUCGCAAUGGGGAGAUGAUAGCAGCAGACAGUCAGGAAGUCAGGGAAGAAAUUGCAGUUGCUUUAAAGAAAGAUAGUCGCCGGGAAGGAAGACGAUUAAAAAGACAAGCAGCAAAGAAAAAUGCAAUGGUAUGUUUCCAUUGUAGAAAACCUGGCCAUGGGAUUGCAGAUUGCCCAGCUGCCCUUGAGAAUCAAGAAAUGGGCACUGGAAUAUGUUACCGGUGUGGAUCCACAGAGCAUGAAAUAACCAAGUGCAAGGCUAAAGUAGAUCCAGCUUUUGGUGAAUUUCCUUUUGCAAAAUGUUUUGUUUGUGGGGAAAUGGGACAUCUGUCCAGAUCUUGUCCUGAUAAUCCCAAAGGACUCUAUGCUGAUGGUGGUUGCUGCAGACUUUGUGGCUCUGUGGAACAUCUUAAGAAAGAUUGCCCCAAAAGUCAGAAUUCAGAUCGAAUGGUCACGGUUGGUCGCUGGGCAAAGGGAAUGAGUGCGGACUAUGAAGACAUUUUGGAUGUGCCUAAACCACAGAAACCCAAAACAAAGAUACCUAAAGUUGUUAAUUUUUGAUUAGUGCUAUCGUUUGUUAGCACCUCAUUGUUAAACAUUCUGAACUGGGCCUACUUCUGACAGGAAAACAUGAACAGACUAUGGCUCAGCAUCCCAGAACUUAAGGAGAUGAGUGCCAUUUAAAAGGAAUGGUACAAGUCAUGCAGCUGGAAAAGGACAGCAGUGCUGCCCUGGUCAUUUAGUCUGAACACACCCAGAUUUAUUUCACCUGUCCUAUCAGGAGCAAAAGGCUCUGGAAAGUCAAAAACCUGUCAGCUGCAAGUUAAGUCUAAUGUUUUUUAUGUAGUCUUCAAUGCAGGGAUGUCCAUUUUGUCUUCUUUGGGGUUACUUUGUUUACAUUUUAAGGGUCUAUAAAGUAGACAGUGAAAUCAUUGGAAAUAGAUUGCAGGUGCUGAAUGUAACAUUGGAAAACUAUGUGGACACUUUGUUAAAGAAACUCACCAGAGACAGAAAUUCUGACAUCCUGAGAGAUUGUGUAUUGCUUGAUGUUGGUUAUUUUCUUAACUAAGAAUGCCAAAAGAAGAAGGCACACAUUUACUUUAUUCAUUAUAUAUUUUCCAAGGACCUGCUGUGUUCCUGGUACUCUUUCAGGCACUUGAGAUUGUGGCAGUGAAUAAGACAAACAAGGCCACAUGCAUUCUGCUGGGGCUGAAGAAUGGAGAGGAGACUUAGGAACAAAAAAUACAUAUCAGAAAUAUCAGUAAAAAUAAUAUCAGAGAGGGAUAUUUUAUACAUUUUAUAAAUAUUUUGUUGAAUCCCCUAAGACUUAGUGGUUAGCACUCUUUUCUUCCUCUAGUCCUUUGGAAAUGUCAUCUCUCUUUACAAGCUCAUCUUUCACUUUUCCGUGGCUGACUCCUAAAUCUCCAUCUUGCCCUAAAAUCCCUGGUUUCGGUUCUGUCUUCUCGCCUGCCUGCUGGACAUUCUUACUUGGAUGUUACACUAACACCUCAAACUCAUAAUAGCUUUAAAUCUCAUCACUUCCCCUGAGGGAAAAAAUGGGCUAAUUCCCUUUGUCUCCAUUUUAUUCAGUACAAUUAUAUUCCAAGCCUGUAGACUCGCAUCUCAAGUUACGCUUUUCUUGACAUUCUCCCCACCACAUCCCAGAGUCAACCCUCUCUUACUUCAUUCAGGCGUCUGCUUAUAAUCUGCCUAAUAGAGAGUCUUUUAUGACCAGCCUUAUAGGAAAUAGCUUUUUCCUCAUCCCAAUAACUUUUCAUUCUCUUGCUGUCUAAAUUUUCUCCAUAAUUUAUGUCCCUACAUAACACUAUUUGUCCCCUCUCCACCGGAUUAUAGGUUACAUGAGGGCAGGAAUUUUGUCUUAUUAUCCUCAGAAGUGCUUGGUGCAUACAGAGCAUUCACACUGUUGAAUGAAUGAGUGAAUUAAAUGAAUAUGUGAUAGAAUUAACACACAGAUGAUACAGGAGGCUGGGUAGCUACUUCAGAUUGGAUAAUCAGGGGAAGCCCUCUGAGAGGAAGACUUUUAAGCUGAAAUCUGGAUGACAAGAAGAAAUCUGUUGUGAAGAUAAUGAGGAAGAGCGUUUAGGGAGAGAAAAUAUUCAAAGCCAUGAGCUUGCCAUAUUUGAGGGGCAGAAAGAAGAUGUGAUCUUUUUGACUGGCUUCCUUCACUUAGCAUGUUUUCAAGGUUCAUUUGUAAUGUUACAUUGUAUAGUACACAGGGAGGUAUUAGGGAGAAAGCCUUGGAUAUCUUGAUGUGAGGUAAUAAAUAAAUGCAAUGAUACUGAGGAAGGAGCCUGCCUGGUAUAGUUGGAAAACAGCAAAGAGGCGAAUAUGGUUGGAAAAGAGAGGGAUAAACUAGUAGAAGAUCAGAGAGUUAACAGGGGUCCUAUCUUACAGCCUCUACCAGUUUCUGCCACAUAAAAACCACAAACUCUCAGAAGCAUACAUGAAUAAGCGGUUAUUUAGCUCAUGCCUAUGAGUCAGAUCUAGACUGGGCUUAUCUGGACAGCUCUGCUCAUCUCACUUGGGCUUGCUCACAUCCAUAAGAAGUUUGGUUUGGGGUCAGCUGAUCUAAGCUAGACUCAGAUGAAGAAGCUCUGGGGCCAGCAGGCUAGCCCUGACAUGUUUUUCUCAGGACAAUGGCAGAGAUGUAAGAGGGCAGGUCCACUUGCAAAACCAUUUUCAAGCCUUUGGUUGCAUCAUGUCUGUUGAUGAGUCACACAAUCGAGCUCAGAGAUAAGAGGUAGAACAGCGCGCUCCAUUCGUGGAGGUGGGGAUGGUGGUGAGGGAGUGAAUACUUCUGAAAAAUAAUCCAACGUACCACAACAUACCCCAGACCAUUGUAAAGCUUUGACUUUCACUCUGUGAUAUGCAAAAUUUUUCACAUGUUUGGGGAGAAAUGUGACAUGAUCUGAUUGCCGAGUUGAGAGCAGAGUGAAGGGAGGAGUAAGGAUAAAAGCAGGUUAUAAUUCAGGUGAGAGAAGAUGGUGUGAAUGAGGGUUGUUGUGGUGGAGUUGUUAGAAGGGGUCAGGUUCUGAUUAUGUUGAUAUCUUUAACAUAGAGCUAAUAAGAUUUCCUGAAGGAAGGAGAAUUUAUGGAGGGAAAGGUGGCAGAAUUAAGAGAUCUAUUUUGGAAAUGUGGACUUUGAGAUGACGAUUAUCUUAGUGGAAAUGUCAGAUAAGUAGUUAGAUAUACAAGUGUGGAGUUCAGGAGAGUUUAGGGCUUGAGACACAGAUUUGGGAGUUAUUGGCAAGUAGAUGUCUUUUAAAACCCAGAGGCUGGGUGGACUCACUGAGGAAUGGAGAUAGAGGAGAAGAGGCCAAGAACAGAGCCCUGGGUAGUCUAAUAUUUAGAGGUCUGGUGGAGGAGGAAGAACUUCAAGAGGAUUUAAAAGUGUGACUGGUCACACAGGAGGAAAUCCAAGAGUGUGACAUCACGGAAGCCAAGCGGAGACAAUGCUGCAAAAAGAAGGAACUAGUCAACUUUGUUAAUACUGCUCAGAGGCUAAAUAAGCUAAGAACAGGUCCAUUAGUGUGGCAAUGAGAGGUCUUUGUGGAGUAACGGAGAAGUACAGUUCGGUAAAUGAAAUAAGGAUAUGAAGACCACAUUUAUAGAUAAUUGGAGUAGAGAUGGUGGCCUUUAGGAAACUGCAUCAGGUGAAGUGUUGUUUUGCUUUGUUUUGAUUUAUUUUAAGAUAAGAGAUAAUAGUGGCUAUGAAAAUAAUCCAGGAAAGACUCCUGAAAUAGAGAAAAAAAGAGAAUUGGAGGAGGGAAGCCUCGGAGAAGGUUAGAGAAAUGGUUCUUUGCUAGGGUAGAGAUGUUUAAUUCAUUGUGUUAGGAGGGAUGACAAAGAUGUGGAAUGUACAUAGAUGGGGAGAUGAGACAACUUCUGCCUAAUGGUUUAUAUUUUCCUCGAAGUAUUUUCUAAAUUUCAUUAACUGAGAAAGGGUAAGAGACAUGAGAAACUUGAAGGAAGAGAAGGCAGUGUGAAAUAGCAAACAUAUAGGAAAUGUAGUAGUAUUAUCAGAGCCCUUUUGAAAUCUGUGGUCAUAAAUUUCAGGUGAGACCCAUCCACAAUUUUCAGAUGCUUAGUGCAGGGGUGAGGUAUUACAAAUACUUUAACCACAGUUUUGAGUUUGCCAGACAAGUAGAAUGAAAGGAAAAGGUACAGGUGUUUUCCAGGGUGUGAUAUUAAUGAUAGACCAUGGAAUCUAAGCCAGAUGAAGAAAGAAGGGAGGACAUGGAGAGGGAUAAUGAGCUAUGGAAAUGAUCGAAAUAUUAAUUUUGAAUCUAUUUUCAAAUGGCCCUAAAAAUGUCACAAAAUGAGGAAGGGAAAGAUGGCAUCAGAUGUGUAAUUUUUAUAUGGUACUUUAUACCUUCAAGUACACUGAGAAAGACAUUUUAUAAUAUUUAUUUGACUUUUGAAUCUGGAGGUGGGUUACUAUCAAGAACUGUGAAGGGUCUGAGGUUCUUAAUACACUAGUCUGUUACUGUUUCAUGGAUGUCGACAAGGCAUGAGAAUCCUGGUUCAGAGACAAAAGAUAGUAUUCAUGGCACAGCAAACACCGUGAGUAUCAACUUAUUUCUGUUGCUUCCCUUUUUCCCUUAGUCCCCACAGGGUGACAUGAUGGGCCCAGAUGGAUGCUAUAGACAUAGCCGGUUUGUGUCACAGCUGAGGAACAAGUUGCAAACGCUGUAGCACAGAGCAAACAAGCCAGCCUUCCCGCGCCCCAGAGAGUGAGCCAUUACACUGAAGUCAAGCUGUGGUCACCUUGACCUACUUAAUUGCCUAUGGGACUAGCAUUUGCCUGUGGAUAAAUAAAUCUUGCAGUUUGGCACACUCAGCAAUAAUAUGCAGGACCCCUCUGGGCCCAUGGUGAACUGUCUGUCCCAGUAGUUACACUACCUUCAAAUGGGUAAAAUGAGUCAUGAACAAGGUUCAUAGUUUACAUUUCAAUAAUGUAUUCUAAACAUAAAACUUUCCUUAACAUACACAUUUUCAACAUAUAUUUUCAAAACUACUCCUAUAUAUAUACCAAUAAAAAUUUCCAAGGUUGUCUCUGAAAUGUGCAAUAAGAAAUAUGAACAAAACCAUGUGAUGGUAUAUAUAAAAAUACUCUGGAUUUCUCUAGGUUUAAUUAAAAUUGUUCAUUAUUUCCUAGAGGUGUUAGACCAUAACGGUAAACUAUAUUCUAAACUGUAUAGAUCAAUUUUUACAUUUUUUUCCUCUAGAAUUCUUUAAAAAUAUGAUAGAAAAACUGAAUGUAAAUCAGAAACUCAGUUGCAUUAAAACCAGGAAGAAUUAAUAGGGAAGAACGUCCUUUCGUAAUCAAAAAGCUUUCAGUCCUGUUAGACGCACUUGAAAACCCUUACUAUCAAGAAAGGUAUGAAAUCUUUAGUGUUCCUGGAGGAUAUUUUGACACUCCAAAGGAGAAAAUAAGCAUGACUACAUUUUUAUGUUCCCUCUGUCCUUAGUCUCCAGCGGCUUGAGGGUGAGUGCUGAUGAACGAGCUUUGCUGCUCAUCCUUGGUUCAGGCAUGUUUGCUUAAAGUCAGGGCACCAAAGAAAUCCAGAAAAGGCUGUCGUUAAUUCAUCUGUCUUUAAUUACCUCUCUAUUCCAGCCUCUCCAGCGUCUGCUUUUCCUGGAAUGUGCCAGAAACACAUUCCCAUCUCAAAGGCUGUGCCUGGGCUAGUUCUUCUGCAGGAAACAUGCUAUCUCCAGAGAUCCUCAUGGUUCAGUCCCUCUCUGCCUUCAGGUUUUCACUGAAAUAUCCCUCAAUGGGGCCUACUCUGACCACCCUAUCCACCAGGCCAUCAAUAACCAAAAGCCCGAAUCCUGGAUGUAUAUAUUGUUACAUUCGUUAUAUAGAAUAUUUACUAUCUUUCAGUGUGAACUCCCCCCGACACCUUCUUGUUGUUUGACAAAAGUCAUGUUUCAUGGCCAGAAAAAUGUUAUUAAAUUUUAUGUCUUUAACUUGCAGUUCCCUUAAGGAGUAGAUGUGAAGCUUCACACUUCUGACCCCUGGUCCACAUGCUUGCAAUUCCCAGGCAUGAGGGCAACUCCUGGAACUCCUCACAAGGCCCCUCCAGCCCUGGCCCAGCUGGAGUGUGGGCGGCCGAGGAGGCUGCUGUCUCUUCAAUGGAUUUUGACCAGCCACCAAGAUUUCCAGCAAAGUAAGGAAGGAUGCUAGCAGAAAUCUGGUUAAAGAACAAAUUAAUCUGCAGAUGUUUCAUCAAACUUACGGUACAUGAACUGCUGUCAAUAGCACGGAUGAGAAAUCCAGCACUUAUGAUUUCACUUCUGCUGUACUGUGGAGAAGGUGGGACUGAUGGCAGAAUAACUGACCUCACUGCCACCGUGGUGCUUUGAAGACAGUGUUGAAAUUUGCCAUCUUAUAAUCAUUCCCAUGGCAACAAGCUGUGAGAAGACAAACAAACAUAGGGUUAAGACUUCACUGCAGGAAUCAGGCAGAUGGAAAAAUCAGGCUGUGAGGGAGAAAACCUUUAUUUAAACAUAAAUAUCUUUAGGAAGAGAAUGAAGAAAUGAGAAACUGACUAAAAGCAGCUUAGAAAGACAUGAGUUUGUCCUUUGCUAUGCUGCUCAUGAAUGCUCGGAUGCCAGCAAUGAUGCAAGAAACAGAUUUCAUAUUAGUAAAAGAAAACAGUCUUGAAGCAGCUUUUAUGAGGGUUAAAGAGAAGCAAGUAACUUAGUUAUGUUAAACCUGUAUUUCUGCAUCACUGAACCAAACACACAGAUGGAAACCUAACUGGAUCCAAAGAAGGAGUUUUAUUUUUCAGGAAUAGCAAGAAAGUAGUUGAGACAUUUUAUGGUGACACCACAGUGGACUGGAUUUCCCCAUGUGAAGAACUCUGAAGCUCUGGUCCUCAUGAUCACACAUUGCAGAAGUGUAGAGUGGGUCAGAUUGGAAUUACAUCCUAUGAAAACAACUGGAAAAUUGGACCAAGUAUAGGAAGUAACUAUUUUCACACAUAGGACAACAGACAACACAGACCUGUGAUCUCCAAGGAAAGGGAGGUAAAUGAAGGGAGCACUUGCAUUUCCUGGGUUCUCAGCCUGCACAUAAUUCCCAGACUAUGACCAAGGAGGGGAAAUGGAAACUUGCUGAAUUGAAGAACCAGAAAUCAAGGAGAUCAAGGCAGCUGAGAUUAUCCCAGAAAGGAGGGAGCUGCAAAAGGAAAGAAUUCCAGGGAACAGAUGCCCUCAAGAAACUUACACGCAGAGGCGGGGUCAAAUCCAAAGGUGAACCCCAGGAGCUGUGCGAACAAAGAAGAGAAAGGGAAAUUUCUCCCAGCAGCCUCAGAAGCAGCGAAUUAAACCUCCACAAUCAACUUGAUGUACCCUGCAUCUGUGGAAUACCUGAAUAGACAACAAAUCAUCCCAAAAUUGAGCAUGCGGGCCUCUCACUGUUGUGGCCUCUUGUGUUGCAGACCACAGGCUCCGGACGUGCAGGCUCAGCGGCCAUGGCUCACGGGCCCAGCCGCUCCGCGGCAUGUGGAAUAUUCCUGGACUGGGGCACAAACCCGCCUCCCCUGCAUCGGCAGGUGGACUCUCAACAACUGCGCCACCAGGGAAGCCCUAAUUUUUAUCCUUUUUCUCUUUUUAGAUCAAAGGGACUGCUACUGAGCAAGCUACAAGUUGCAACAUGGGAUCCAUGAACUCCUUUCCUGCUAUUUUAACCUGGAUAGAGACUUCAAAAUCUCCCAAGAAUUUUGUAUUCAUAGCUAUAAUAAAGAAAAGAAAACCAGCUCAUACAUUUAACAAAUGUUUACUGAGUUACAACUAGUCCUGGCACGAAACUAAGACCUCAGGAUACAGUGAUUAACAAGAUAAGGUUGAUGACAUCAAGGAGACCAGUCUUCACUUGGGACAUCAGGAUGCAGACAGAUGAAGUGCAACGCUAUGAAAUUUUUCAAAAGGAAGAAAGAAUCAAGUAUUGCAGAAACACCCAGAAGUGACUAAUGUGAAAAGUCAGGGAAGGAGCCAUGGAAGAGUGUGACGGAUAUGAAUUCAACAGGACCAGUCUGUUAUGGUUCUUGGUUUUGAUUGCCCUUCAUGCAGUAUGCCAGUAAAAGUGGAGAAACCCUAAAGCUAUUUCUGAUUUCCUGGGGAAACUGAGAGAAGCUGAGGAACAGCUAAGUGGAUAUAGUCCAGAGAAUUUGCAGUUAAAAGCUGCCAACUUGGACUUCCCUGGUGGCGCAGUGGUUAAGAAUCCACCUGCCAAUGCAAGGGACGCGGGUUCGAGCCCUGGUCUGGGAAGAUUCCACAUGCCACAGAGCAACUAAGCCCAUGAGCCACAACUACCAAGCCCAUGUGCUGCAACUACUGAAGCCCACGUGCCUAGAGCCCAUGCUCUGCAACAAGAGAAGCCACUGCAAUGAGAAGCCUGUGCACCUCAACGAAGAGUAGCCCCCGCUCGGCGCAACUAGAGAAAAGCCCGUGCGCAGCAACGAAGACCCAACACAGCCAUAAAUUAAUUAAUUAAACAAAACAAAAAACCUGUCAACUCAUUACAAAUGAGCCCAACAAAUCCCAAGAGAAUUUCUUCUUUAUGAGAGACAGAAUCUAGAACAUUAGAGUUUUCAUUGUCAAACUUUAGCACAUAUAAGCUGUUACACUUUCUAGAGCUGAAAUCAGUGACUCUACAAAGCAGUUUCCAUUAUGGAAACAGUGACACCAGAAAACCUCCAGCAUGUUAUAGAGCCAUAGAUGUCAUAUUGUGAGGGCUGGCUGCAUCUGGGAUGGGUGAGGGAAUGGACACCUGGAGAGAAAACCAUGUGUCAGACAGGCAGCUGAUGUAAAAGGAGCAGUUAAGAUAGUAGAGCACCUGACUUGAACUCAGGACUCCUGACUUACCACAAAGUCUAACUGACUCCAACAAAUCAGUGCUGCUUUUUUAUCCUUGUGCAGAUGGCCUGCCAAGCCCCAGCCUGGAGCAUCAGAAUGGAGAUUCUAGUAAUUUUGCUUCUCCUUUUAAAGAUUUUUUUUUUAAAUGUAAGAGAGGAAUGAAGGAAACAUGGACUUGAUAACUUUUCAGGAUCCUCUGUGAGUAGGUUUCUGUCCUAUAUAAGCAUAAAUAAGAAUUAGAUGCAUUCAGUUAGGGAAGUAUGAAGUUUGACUUUUAUAAAAAGCAUGAAAAUGACUUUUUUAAACAAACAAAUUAAAAUGUGUGCUUCCAGGAUGGUCCCCUCAUGUGCUUAUGCUGAUUUCAAUGACAGUGUUAUUACUCAUAUCACUUUUGGCAUUCCUCAUUGGAAAGUGCCUCUAGAGUUCUUAAUAGCAUCUUGGCAGAUUAGAUCAUUGUUCAGCAAAUAUUCACUGAGUCUACUAAUAACCCCAUGCGAGGCACUUAUUGGUGUUGGGCCUGGCCACAUGACUUGCUUUGGAACGGAAUGUGAGGAGGUAACAGUGUACCAAUUUGGACCUAGCCCUUGGAGGUACCACAUGCUCCUGUUCUCAGGAACAUCUGACCUCUGCAGUGAGAAGAUGCUAGCCUGAGCUGCUGCCCCAUCGGCAUCUGGGUGCCGGGCUGAAUUCACAUAUUGCAGAGCCAUUCCAGCCAACCUGCAGACUUGCAGCCUGAAGCUGAGCCACACAGCAGACAUGCAGACUCCUGAAUGAGACAUAACUAUUUAUUGUUGCAUGUCACUGUGAUUGGGAGAUUGUUACACAGCAAUAAAUAACGGUUACAUGCAUGAAUUUCAUUUAUUAGUAUUUUAGAAAUUUUAUUAAGUUAUUGGAAAUAAAGUGUGUGUUUAGGUUGGGUUGUAUUGUUUUGGGUAAAAAAGGUGACUGAAGUGAUAAUAAUAUGUAAGUACUUGUGUACUUGCUUUAUACGUAUACUUGGUGGCUUUCUGAAGUGAUUAUCUGGAAAGGGAUAGCAUGUGUCUGUAUAUGUAUGUCUAGGAAUGUUUGAUCAAAGAAGCAGACACAGUACACAAAGUCACUAUUGUUUUCUUAUAUAUAUUAUCUCCUAAUUAGAUGUCUUGAUUAUGGUUUCAUAGCUUUUGUUGGUUUUGCACUGAUUUUCAUUUUCAUAGCCUCUGCCUGAAACUACUGUUCUUAUGUUUUUCUCAAUAACAUCUGCAUGUGUGAACAUUUGCUAUAUCCUUUAUCUGUCAAGGAUUUUUGCUAUUAUGUUUGAAAAAAAAGGCUUCCAUUUUCCAUUUCUGUUUAGAGACAUCUUUUGGAGAUGAGCAGGCUGUGAAGCGAGCUUGAUUUUUAGAAGGUCAUGCACAAGAGCAGGAAAGCUGAUCAGGAAGAGUAUGGAAAGUAUGAUAAUCACUAGAAUAAUAAGAACAUCUUUAGAAUGUUGGUGUAGGAGGGAAACUAGACAGUUGAACCCCGUCAUUCUGGAGAUGAGGGAAUGAGGUGUUGGCCCUGGCUCACAUUGCAAAGAUAAUGGUCAGGCUUUGAGAAAACUGAGAGCAAGGAGCAUGACAUAUAAGAAAAGAGACAGAAAAAAGUGCUUCCCCCAGAAGCGGACCCUCCAACAGGAAUUUGAGAGCAAGCAGUUUAUUUGGGAGAAAACUGCAGAAAGCACCUGUAGGAGAGUCAAAAGUGCGGUCCUGGGCUUCCCUGGUGGCGCAGUGGUUGAGAGUCCACCUGCCGAGGCAGGGGACGUGGGUUCGUGCCCCGGUCCGGGAAGAUCCCACGUGCCGCGGAGCGGCUGGGUCCGUGAGCCAUGGCUGCUGAGCCUGCGCGUCCGGAGCCUGUGCUCCGCAACGGGAGAGGCCACAACAGUGAGAGGCAAAAAAAAGUGUGGUCCUCAGACCAGCAUCAGCACCACCUGGGAGCUUGUUAGAAAUGCAGAAUCUCAGGCCCCACCCCAGACUUGCUAAAUCAGAAUCUGCAUUUUAUUAAGAUUCCCAGGGGAGUCAUAAGCACAUCUAAGUUUGUGAAGAACAGCCUGAGUUAUUCCUGCCGGAGACAUGGAGGAGAU